GACGUAGGGCGUGAGCGUUGUCCGGAUUUAUUGGGCGUAAAGAGCUCGUAGGCGGCUUGUCGCGUCGUCCGUGAAAACUUGGGGCUCAACCCCAAGCUUGCGGUCGAUACGGGCAGGCUAGAGUUCGGUAGGGGAGACUGGAAUUCCUGGUGUAGCGGUGAAAUGCGCAGAUAUCAGGAGGAACACCGGUGGCGAAGGCGGGUCUCUGGGCCGAUACUGACGCUGAGGAGCGAAAGCGUGGGGAGCGAACAGG
rnacentral:rRNA from 1 species